AACGAACGCUGGCGGCAUGCUUUACACAUGCAAGUCGAACGGUAACAGGCCGCAAGGUGCUGACGAGUGGCGAACGGGUGAGUAAUGCAUCGGAACGUGCCCAGUCGUGGGGGAUAACGCAGCGAAAGCUGCGCUAAUACCGCAUACGAUCUCUGGAUGAAAGCGGGGGACCGAAAGGCCUCGCGCGAUUGGAGCGGCCGAUGUCAGAUUAGGUAGUUGGUGGGGUAAAGGCCACCAAGCCAACGAUCUGUAGCUGGUCUGAGAGGACGACGAGGCACACUGGGACUGAGACACGGCCCAGACUCCUACGGGAGGCAGCAGUGGGGAAUUUUGGACAAUGGGCGCAAGCCUGAUCCAGCAAUGCCGCGUGCAGGAAGAAGGCCUUCGGGUUGUAAACUGCUUUUGUACGGAACGAAACGGUCCGGGUUAAUACCCUGGGCUAAUGACGGUACCGUAAGAAUAAGCACCGGCUAACUACGUGCCAGCAGCCGCCGUAA
rnacentral:rRNA from 1 species